GUUUUCAAGCAUCUCGGGCGAAAAAACUUAAGUACAGAAAAACAGAUUGACAAUUUUUUAGAGGAUUAGAUUAGUUAGUGGAGAGACCACUCAACAUAUUUUAAAGCUGAUGCUCUAAGAAGUAUCUAUAGCAAAUUUUAGGCUUUGACUUCACUGCGAGCUGCUCAUACGAAAUUAUCAACCAUAGUAACUAUUGGGUAUAUGUCAUAAAAAAAUCGAUAACAAUUUUCAUGCAACAUGGAAACUUAUUGAUAUUUUCCUUCGCAUCCAAGUGGGCUGUGAAAAAAUUCCUAUAUCCCAGCGCAGAGAACAAAAAACUUUCAGUCUGAAUCGACUACUCGUCUAGAGCACAUUGUGAGCUUGUGAAAAAAAAGGAAAAAAUAAUAAUUAAAAAUAUAAAAAUAAAUAAUUUUUUUUUCGCGCGAUUUUCGGAAAUAAAAGCUAAAAGUAAUUCGAUAAAAUGCGUCCAUCACCGUUUAACUACAGCAAUUCUUCGCGUUCACGUGGCACGUUGGGGGGAGUCAGGCUGUCGAAGAAGGCUCGUCGCGCUUUGCAGAACUUCUUGAAGGAGCUGGUAGCGCUUCAGAUUGUCAUCGACAAUUUUCAGAUGUUAUCUAACCACUUGGAGGAGGAGACCGCCGAUUAGUUCUUAUUCUAUAAAGAAAUGCACGCUUUUGCUACAAUUUACACCGAAAAAAAAAACUGUUCAGGCAGCAUUUUCGUGGCCACGUGAAAAUUACAAAAUUAAGCAUCUCCGGCAAAAAACAAGCUUAAAUACAGAAAAAAUGUUAGACAAUUUUCAGAUGUCAGCUGACUAAUUGAAUAUUGAGGAAGAUUACACAUAUUUACACCGAAAAAAAAAAACAUAGUUCAGACAGCUCAUACUCUUUCCAGCAAAUAAAAUUGGAUAAUUAGGCAUCUCGCGCAAGACACAAACUUAAACACAGAAAAAAAGGUCAACAAUUUUCAGAUGUCAGCUGACAUUGAAUACAGAUGAAGACUAUUUCUAAUUAUAUAACGAAAAACACAGUUUUGCUACAAUUUACACCGAGAAAAGAACUUUUCACAUAGUUUAGGCAGAUUUUCCGUGGCCACUUUCAAAUUACGAGCUUAAUCGUUUUUAAGCAUCUUUGACAAGAAACAAACUUAAACACAGAAAAAAAGAUCGACAAUUUUAAAAUGUCAGCUGACAUUGAAUACGAAUGAAGACUUUUUUUAAUUCUAUAACGAAAAACACACUUUUGCUACAUUUUACACCGAGAAAAGAACUUUUCACAUAGUUUAGGCAGCUUUUUCCGUGGCCACUUUAAAAUUGCGAAAUUAACCGUUUUCAAGCAUCUCGGCCCCAAGAAACUAACUUAAAUACAGAAGAAAACACGAUGUUUGCCGCUUGCUCAGCAAAUACGCUUGACACUGAGAUUACCAAUUCAAGAACACGAGGAGAACACUAGGCAAAAGUCACGGCUGCUUAU
rnacentral:sRNA from 1 species